CUUAACACAUGCAAGUCGAGGGGCAGCAUGGUCUUAGCUUGCUAAGGCUGAUGGCGACCGGCGCACGGGUGAGUAACACGUAUCCAACCUGCCGUCUACUCUUGGCCAGCCUUCUGAAAGGAAGAUUAAUCCAGGAUGGCAUCAUGAGUUCACAUGUCCGCAUGAUUAAAGGUAUUUUCCGGUAGACGAUGGGGAUGCGUUCCAUUAGAUAGUAGGCGGGGUAACGGCCCACCUAGUCAACGAUGGAUAGGGGUUCUGAGAGGAAGGUCCCCCACAUUGGAACUGAGACACGGUCCAAACUCCUACGGGAGGCAGCAGUGAGGAAUAUUGGUCAAUGGGCGAUGGCCUGAACCAGCCAAGUAGCGUGAAGGAUGACUGCCCUAUGGGUUGUAAACUUCUUUUAUAAAGGAAUAAAGUCGGGUAUGCAUACCCGUUUGCAUGUACUUUAUGAAUAAGGAUCGGCUAACUCCGUGCCAGCAGCCGCGGUAAUACGGAGGAUCCGAGCGUUAUCCGGAUUUAUUGGGUUUAAAGGGAGCGUAGAUGGAUGUUUAAGUCAGUUGUGAAAGUUUGCGGCUCAACCGUAAAAUUGCAGUUGAUACUGGAUGUCUUGAGUGCAGUUGAGGCAGGCGGAAUUCGUGGUGUAGCGGUGAAAUGCUUAGAUAUCACGAAGAACUCCGAUUGCGAAGGCAGCCUGCUAAGCUGCAACUGACAUUGAGGCUCGAAAGUGUGGGUAUCAAACAGG
rnacentral:rRNA from 1 species